rnacentral:ncRNA from 1 species
GCCCCGCCAACCCGAACUGUCACCCUUUGGUGGCGUUCCGUCCGCUCGGCCGGAUAGGGAGCGGGGCGCAU